UACGAGGGGUGCAAGCGUUGCUCGGAAUCACUGGGCGUAAAGGGUGCGUAGGCGGGUCUUUAAGUCAGGGGUGAAAUCCUGGAGCUCAACUCCAGAACUGCCUUUGAUACUGAGGAUCUUGAGUUCGGGAGAGGUGAGUGGAACUGCGAGUGUAGAGGUGAAAUUCGUAGAUAUUCGCAAGAACACCAGUGGCGAAGGCGGCUCACUGGCCCGAUACUGACGCUGAGGCACGAAAGCGUGGGGAGCAAACAGG
rnacentral:rRNA from 1 species